rnacentral:rRNA from 1 species
GAUAUGUGAAUACAUAGCAUAUCAGAAGGCACACCCGGAGAACUGAAACAUCUUAGUACCCGGAGGAAGAGAAAGAAAAUUCGAUUCCCUUAGUAGCGGCGAGCGAAACGGGAAGAGCCCAAACCAACAAGCUUGCUUGUUGGGGUUGUAGGACACUCUAUACGGAGUUACAAAGGACGACAUUAGACGAAUCAUCUGGAAAGAUGAAUCAAAGAAGGUAAUAAUCCUGUAGUCGAAAAUGUUGUCUCUCUUGAG